UUCCAGACUCCUACGGGAGGCAGCAGUGAGGAAUAUUGGUCAAUGGGCGGGAGCCUGAACCAGCCAAGCCGCGUGAAGGAAGAAGGCGCCAAGCGUCGUAAACUUCUUUUGUCGGGGAACAAAGGGCGCCACGUGUGGCGUUGUGAGUGUACCCGAAGAAAAAGCAUCGGCUAACUCCGUGCCAGCAGCCGCGGUAAUACGGAGGAUGCGAGCGUUAUCCGGAUUUAUUGGGUUUAAAGGGUGCGUAGGCGGCCCGAAAGGGCGGGGGAAAAGGCCGGGGGCCCACCCCGGGCGAGCCGUUGAAACUGUCGGACUAGAGACGGCGAGAAGUACGCGGAAUGCGCGGUGUAGCGGUGAAAUGCAUAGAUAUCGCGCAGAACUCCGAUUGCGAAGGCAGCAUGCCGGCUCCACACUGACGCUGAGGCACGAAAGCGUGGGUAUCGAACAGGAUUAGAUACCCUCGUA
rnacentral:rRNA from 1 species